AGAGUUUGAUCAUGGCUCAGGACGAACGCUGACGGUGUGCUUUAGACAUGCAAGUCGAACGAGAAAGCCCUUCGGGGUGAAUACAGUGGCGAACGGGUGAGUAACACGUGGGCAAUCUGCCCCUCGCAGGGGGACAACCGGGGGAAACCCCGGCUAAUACCCCGUACGCUUACGGAGCCGCAUGGCUCCAUAAGGAGAGGUAGCUUCGGCCAUCCGGCGAGGGAUGAGCCCGCGGUACAUUAGCUAGUUGGUGAGGUAACGGCUCACCAAGGCGACGAUAUAUAGCUGGUCUGAGAGGAUGAUCAGCCACACUGGGACUGAGACACGGCCCAGACUCCUACGGGAGGCAGCAGUCGGGAAUCUUGCGCAAUGGGCGAAAGCCUGACGCAGCAACACCGUGUGAGCGACGAAGGCCUUCGGGUCGUAAAGCUCUGUUGUUGGGGACGAAGGGUUAGGGGUUAAUAGCCCCGAGCCUGACGGUACCCUUCGAGGAAGCCCCGGCUAACUACGUGCCAGCAGCCGCGGUAAUACGUAGGGGGCGAGCGUUGUCCGGAAUUAUUGGGCGUAAAGAGCGUGUAGGCGGUUCGGUAAGUCUGCCGUGAAAACCUGAGGCUCAACCUCGGGCGUGCGGUGGAUACUGCCAGGCUAGAGGAUGGUAGAGGCGAGUGGAAUUCCCGGUGUAGCGGUGAAAUGCGCAGAUAUCGGGAGGAACACCAGUAGCGAAGGCGGCUCGCUGGGCCAUUCCUGACGCUGAGACGCGAAAGCUAGGGGAGCGAACAGGAUUAGAUACCCCAGUAGUCC
rnacentral:rRNA from 1 species